GAGGACUUUAAGUCAACAAAGAACAUACGAGUGCUUUGAAGAUAAUGGGCUUUCUUCAACAGUUGGCGGUAAUCAGUGGAUUAGCUUUGCUGGUUUGCUUGGUGCAAGCGGAAGUUCAUUACCAUGACUUUGUUCUUCGGGAGGAAAAUUUGACCAGGCUGUGCAACACCAACAAAAGGAUGGUGGUAAACGGCCAGUUUCCCGGGCCAACCGUUUAUGUUCGCAAAGGUGAUGCUGUUUUUGUUAACGUCCAUAAUCAAAGAGGUUACAAAGUCACAAUCCACUGAGUAUGGAUACACCAUGAACAUUACCGAGAAGAGCGAUGUGUACAGUUAUGGAGUGGUUUUGCUCGAAAUCUUAAGUGGCUGGAGUGCAGUUGAGUCGCAGGUGGGCGAUAGGCAACACAUAGUCGAAUGGGUGAAAAAGAAAAUGGGAAGCUUUGAACCAACAAUAUCAAUUCUGGAUACCAAACACUAAGGUUUACCGGAUCAAAUGGUGCAAGAAAUGCUUCAAACACUAGGCAUUGCAAUGUUCUAUGUGAAUUCUUCGCCAGCAGAACGACCAACAAUGAAGGAAGUGGUCGCAUUGUUAAUGCAGGUGAAGAGCCCUCCUGAAGAAUGGGCCAAGACUUCUCAACCCCUAAUGAAACAGUCCUCAAAUCAAAGUUGAUUUUCUUGUCAUUUUUGUUAUAAUUCUUGGCUCUUUCACUUUGUUAGUUCUUUCAAGAACUUUAGUAAUUGAGUUUCUCUCUCAACCCAAGAUAAAAAGGAGUGUUGUGAGGAAAAUGAGAGGAGGAAGAGCAACUUUAGAUUGUGAUCUUUGGGCUAUCUUGUACAGUUUUAGAAUCAUCAAAUUGGCCUUUUUUUCGCUUUA